rnacentral:lncRNA from 10 species
CAGGCACAGGCCUCCCAGAGCAAACCGCUGGUGAGCAGAGCAGGCCGAAUUCUGGUCCCGCGCCCUCUGUCAGGAGACUCUUGGGAAAAGCAGAUGAAGACAGGCCAGAAAGAAAGCCGGGCGCAAUGGCUCACGCCUGUAAUUCCAACACUUUGGAAGGCCGAGGCGGGUGAAUCACAAGGUCAGGAGUUCAAGACCAGCCUGACCAACAUGGUGAAACCCUGUCUCUACUAAAAAUACAAAAAUUAGCUGGACUUGGUGGCAUACAACUGUAAUCUCAGCUACUCGGGAGGCUGAGGCAGGAGAAUCCCUUGAACCCAGGAGGCAGAGGUUGCAGUGAGCCAACAUCAUGCCAUUGCACUCCAGCCUGGACGACAGGGCAAGACUCCGUCUCAAAAAAAAAAAAAAAGGCAACUCCCUAUGGCCUCUGGGAGAAAAACAGAGCAAGGAAAUGUGGGUGCAGCUUGAGAAGGACUGUCCCUAGGGAGCUCACCCGCAGGAAAGUCACUCUCCUUUUGACGUUACAUCAUCAAAACUUCCCAGUAGAUUUUGUUGUGUGCUAAGCGUAUUUUGGAUUAUGCAGAGCUAUGCUACAGUAGUUUUUCCAUCACGGUUCAGUCUUGCAAGAAAGCUAACAGUUCACCAACGUAACAUCAGUUAUGCUUUCACUUCCCAUAGCCAGAAUUAAUUCCCAAUGGGGAUUUUUCAAUGAAAGCUGGAUUUCUAACUGCCACUCUCAACCAGUUUUCACCUUUCAUUCCCCACCUGUCAACAUUGGCUUAAUAAUCUACUGCACGUCUCCCACUCAUCAGAUAAUAAUAAUAACAGCAAUAACAAUAAUAUUAGCCAACAUUGACUGAGGAGUUCAUAUGUGCUAGGUGCUAUUUUAUGAGCACCACACAACUGAGCUUGUUAUGCCUCUCCAUAUCCCCGUGAGGAAGGGACUACGUCUCAGCAUUCUACGGAUGAGGAAACUGAGGCUUAAAGUCACACAGCUAGUUAGCAGGGGAGCCGGCACGCGCUUGCAGGCGGUGACUCCAGAGCUCCUGACCCUAGAAACCCACACAGCUGCACACGGAGCCUCCUCCACUGAGCACAGGCUUCAGGCUUGGCUCGCUGCUUUCGCAAGUGCCGCCAUCCCCUGCCACCCUGCCCCAUCACAGCCCGGUGGCUUGCAAAACAUUUAACUCCGCACCCCAUGCCCUUUCUUCAAGUGAGGAAGCCCCAAGCCUGCAUUAAACAGAUCAAAUGGAGAUUCUCUGGAUGAAUUAGGAAGAGGAGCGGGGGCUCCUGCCCCCUCCCCACCCCAGCCCCUCCCUGGUGUCCCA